rnacentral:lncRNA from 1 species
UUUAGAUUUAAUCAGCUUAACACAAUCAUUUUAAGCUGAUUUGUAUUCAAUUCAAAGUAAUAAAGCAUUCUGAGUAUAUAGCAUAUACUUAGAUAUUUCUCCCCCUUUUUGACAACAUCAAAAAGAUAGUGAAACAUUAAGUACAAAGAUCAGAGCAGAAUACAUCGAGUGUGAAUUCAAGAGGUUUUUUAAUUUGAUACCACAGAUAGUUUUCUAAUCAAGUGUAGGUGGAAUCUUCCUUAGGUUAAUUCAAGAAGUACCAUAAAUGAUAUUCAAGAAAAAAUAUGAGUGGAAAUCUAACCUCUCUUCACUAAGUAUGAAAGCUUGUUCAUUUAAGACCUUUUGCCCAAUCUAUUAAGUAUUUUAUCAACAUGAGAGCAAUUUAAUUAAUUUUCAGAGUAAAAGAUCAAAACUUAUAUAUUUGGAAAAACAUAUCAUCAUGUUCGAUCAUUAAUUCUUAAUGACCUCAAAGUUCUUUUAUGAUAAUAAGAGCAUUGGAGCACA